AGUUUGAUCCUGGCUCAGAGUGAACGCUGGCGGUAGGCCUAACACAUGCAAGUCGAACGGCAGCACAGGAGAACUUGCUCUCUGGGUGGCGAGUGGCGGACGGGUGAGGAAUACAUCGGAAUCUACUCUGUCGCGGUGGAUAACGUAGGGAAACUUACGCUAAUACCGCAUACGACCUACGGGUGAAAGCAGGGGACCUUCGGGCCUUGCGCGAUUGAAUGAGCCGAUGUCGGAUUAGCUAGUUGGCGGGGUAAAGGCCCACCAAGGCGACGAUCCGUAGCUGGUCUGAGAGGAUGAUCAGCCACACUGGAACUGAGACACGGUCCAGACUCCUACGGGAGGCAGCAGUGGGGAAUAUUGGACAAUGGGCGCAAACCUGAUCCAGCCAUACCGCGUGGGUGAAGAAGGCCUUCGGGUUGUAAAGCCCUUUUGUUGGGAAAGAAAUCCAGCUGGCUAAUACCCGGUUGGGAUGACGGUACCCAAAGAAUAAGCACCGGCUAACUUCGUGCCAGCAGCCGCGGUAAUACGAAGGGUGCAAGCGUUACUCGGAAUUACUGGGCGUAAAGCGUGCGUAGGUGGUCGUUUAAGUCCGUUGUGAAAGCCCUGGGCUCAACCUGGGAACUGCAGUGGAUACUGGGCGACUAGAAUGUGGUAGAGGGUAGCGGAAUUCCUGGUGUAGCAGUGAAAUGCGUAGAGAUCAGGAGGAACAUCCAUGGCGAAGGCAG
rnacentral:rRNA from 1 species